GUAGGGUGCAAGCGUUGUCCGGAAUUACUGGGUGUAAAGGGAGCGCAGGCGGACCGGCAAGUUGGAAGUGAAAUCCAUGGGCUCAACCCGUGAAUUGCUUUCAAAACUGCUGGCCUUGAGUAGUGCAGAGGUAGGUGGAAUUCCCGGUGUAGCGGUGGAAUGCGUAGAUAUCGGGAGGAACACCAGUGGCGAAGGCGGCCUGCUGGACGACAACUGACGCUGAGGCGCGAAAGCGUGGGGAGCAAACAGGAUUAGAUACCCUGGUAGUCCACGCUGUAAACGAUGAAUACUAGGUGUGGGGGGACUGACCCCUUCCGUGCCGCAGUUAACACAAUAAGUAUUCCACCUGGGGAGU
rnacentral:rRNA from 1 species